rnacentral:rRNA from 1 species
UUGAGCGCUGGCGGCAUGCCUUACACAUGCAAGUCGAACGGCAGCACGGAGCUUGCUCUGGUGGCGAGUGGCGAACGGGUGAGUAAUAUAUCGGAACGUACCCUAGAGUGGGGGAUAACGUAGCGAAAGUUACGCUAAUACCGCAUACGAUCUAAGGAUGAAAGUGGGGGAUCGCAAGACCUCAUGCUCGUGGAGCGGCCGAUAUCUGAUUAGCUAGUUGGUAGGGUAAAAGCCUACCAAGGCAUCGAUCAGUAGCUGGUCUGAGAGGACGACCAGCCACACUGGAACUGAGACACGGUCCAGACUCCUACGGGAGGCAGCAGUGGGGAAUUUUGGACAAUGGGCGAAAGCCUGAUCCAGCAAUGCCGCGUGAGUGAAGAAGGCCUUCGGGUUGUAAAGCUCUUUUGUCAGGGAAGAAACGGUGAGAGCUAAUAUCUCUUGCUAAUGACGGUACCUGAAGAAUAAGCACCGGCUAACUACGU